GAUGAAGAACGCAGCGAAAUGCGAUAAGUAAUGUGAAUUGCAGAAUUCAGUGAAUCAUCGAAUCUUUGAACGCACAUUGCGCCCGCCAGUAUUCUGGCGGGCAUGCCUGUUCGAGCGUCAUUUCAACCAUCAAGCCCCAGGCUUGUGUUGGGGACCUGCGGCUGCCGCAGGCCCUGAAAACCAGUGGCGGGCUCGCUGUCACACCGGGCGUAGUAGAUUUUAUCUCGCUCAGGGCGUGCUGCGGGUUCCGGCCGUUAAAAAGCCUUUUUUACCCAAGGUUGACCUCGGAUCAGGUAGGAAGACCCGCUGAACUUAAGCAUAUCAAUAAGCGGAGG
rnacentral:misc_RNA from 1 species